UCAUUCUCAACUUUUCAACACAUUUUUAAAACAUCAAAAACCUUCUCUACCUCACUCUUGGUCACGGCUCAAACAAGGCACACAAAUCCCACCUUCAAUCUUUCAUUUAUCACCCAAAAUUAAUUAAAUCUAGCCAUUUCAAGAACAUCUCAAUAUGGUUUAAGCAUGGAGGAUCACUAGGAGUUUUCUUAGAGCUUAAUUGUCUUCUUGUUUUCUUAUUUUGGCUUGUGCAAAGUUGAAACAGGUCUUGAGCCGGUGAUUCACUAUGGGAUUCAGGAAAAACAAAUGACAAGGAUUGCCAUUUUCGAAGGGUUUGUAUUCUAUAUCCCAACUUCGUAUGGGUAUAUAGGGGAGAAAACCUCACUAUGUUUUAUGUUAAAAAUAUCUUUUGUAAUGCGUAAAACAAACCGAUAACUAUGUUAUGUCUAAUGUUGUGAACAUCUAUGGUACUUGAAACUACUUUUGGGAAAAUAUGUAAAUAUUCGUUGGAGGUUAUAUAUCUAUGGCAUCGUUGUUGGUU